rnacentral:tRNA from 1 species
GAUGGUGUAGCUCAGCGGUAGAGCAGUUGGCUGUUAACCAACUGGUAGGUGGUUCGAAUCCACCCACCAUCGCCA